AGUAAGUUUCGGGACAAGUCCCAAUAGAGUCUCGGACAGGGCAUUUACAUACAAGAUAUAUUUGUAAUGCCCUUGCUGAGAUUCCAUUGGUUCCACGUUUCACAUUUAU
rnacentral:pre_miRNA from 1 species